AUUGAACGCUGGCGGCAGGCUUAACACAUGCAAGUCGAACGAGUGGCGGACGGGUGAGUAAUGCAUGGGAAUCUAGCUUAUGGAGGGGGAUAAAUACGGGAAACUGUAGCUAAUACCGCGUACCAUAGGAUGAGCUCACGGUGGAUUAGGUAGUUGGUGAGGUAAAGGCUCACCAAGCCGACGAUCCACAGCUGGUCUGCGAGGGUGACCGGCCACACUGUGACUGAGACACGGCCCAGACUCCUACGGGAGGCAGCAGUGGGGAAUCUUUGGCAAUGGACGAAAGCCUGACGGAGCAAUGCCGCGUGAGUGAAGAAGGGCUUCGGAUUGUAAAGUUCUGUCGUUAGCGAGGCGUUAACUACAGAGGAAGCACCGGCUAACUACGUGCCAGCAGCCGCGGUAAUUC
rnacentral:rRNA from 1 species